rnacentral:rRNA from 1 species
GACGUAGGGCGCGAGCGUUGUCCGGAUUUAUUGGGCGUAAAGAGCUCGUAGGCGGCUUGUCGCGUCGUCCGUGAAAACCUGCAGCUCAACUGCAGGCUUGCGGUCGAUACGGGCAGGCUAGAGUUCGGUAGGGGAGACUGGAAUUCCUGGUGUAGCGGUGAAAUGCGCAGAUAUCAGGAGGAACACCGGUGGCGAAGGCGGGUCUCUGGGCCACUACUGACGCUGAGAAGCGAAAGCGUGGGGAGCGAACAGG